rnacentral:lncRNA from 1 species
UUCAAGAGUCCUUAACACUUAAGAUUCAUCCACAUUCAAUGCAUAAAAGAAGGGGCAUCCCAUUUAAUUUGGCAUUCAAAUUCCUUGCCAGAGAAGGACUCUUCCUUUUCUUCCACAUCCCACAUCCCAAGGCUCCAUCUGAUGGCACACAAAAGAAUGGGACGUAUGGAAACAUGUACGAAAAAUAAGAGAAGUAAAAGAGAAGGACUUCUCUUCGCCAAUGCCAAAAUAAAUGUGGCAUCCCAAUAAUUUUUGGCAUGUAAAUUCAUUCCAAGAGAAGGACUCCUCCACUUCCACACCCC